UACAGAGGGUGCGAGCGUUGUCCGGAAUCACUGGGCGUAAAGGGCGCGUAGGUGGCGACCCAAGUCGAGGGUGAAAGCUCGCCGCUCAACGGCGAGUCGGCCACCGAUACUGGGUUGCUUGAGCACUGUAGAGGCUAAUGGAAUUCCGGGUGUAGCGGUGGAAUGCGUAGAGAUCCGGAAGAACACCGGUGGCGAAGGCGGUUAGCUGGGCAGUUGCUGACACUGAGGCGCGACAGCGUGGGGAGCAAACAGG
rnacentral:rRNA from 1 species